ACCUCCCUCUGGCGGCAUGCCUAACACAUGCAAGUCGAACGAGACCUUCGGGUCUAGUGGCGCACGGGUGCGUAACGCGUGGGAACCUGCCCUUAGGUUCGGAAUAACUCCCCGAAAGGGGUGCUAAUACCGGAUAAUGUCUUCGGACCAAAGAUUUAUCGCCUUUGGAUGGGCCCGAGUUGGAUUAGCUAGUUGGUAGGGUAAAAGCCUACCAAGGCGACGAUCCAUAGCUGGUCUGAGAGGAUGAUCAGCCACACUGGGACUGAGACACGGCCCAGACUCCUACGGGAGGCAGCAGUGGGGAAUAUUGGACAAUGGGCGGAAGCCUGAUCCAGCAAUGCCGCGUGAGUGAUGAAGGCCUUAGGGUUGUAAAGCUCUUUUACCCGGGAUGAUAAUGACAGUACCGGGAGAAUAAGCUCCGGCUAACUCCGUG
rnacentral:rRNA from 1 species